CUCUGGAACCACGAGGUGAAAGUGGAACAAGGAGGUGAAAUUCUGACUGACGAUCAGGCUUCCAGUAAUUAUAACCAGUCUAGGGGCGAAUGGCACACUCCCAGCAAGUAGUGUCAGCUGAGACUGUGAGUUCAAAAUACGAAUGUAGGAUUUCAAC